CCAUCUUCUUGUGUCGUCUAUAAGAAAAAUUGCACGGUUGACUUAAUAUAUCCUUGUUAUGGUUUUAUGGACAAUCUUUCUCAAUUAUUAUUAUUUGAUUAUGCAACUGUGAAGUUGUUAUGAUCUGCUUGUGAUUAAUAUGUUCUUUUAUUUACCAAAAUUAUUUUGAAUUCAUAACUAACUUGAUCGUCGUAGUUUUUGCAGGUACCACACCUUUGGUGUGUCAUGCUAUGCUCAUGAGUAUGAUGAAACAGAAUGGAAAUGCAACAUCUUAAAAGCAUGGUAGGAAGUUUACCUUUGAUUUGAGCUGCUGGCCAUGCUUAACAGUCCGGUCUUCAACCGAGCUGAGUGAAUGAGAUUCAUUGACAUGGGGGGGCUUCUGAAACAUUGGAAAUGGGUAGAGGCUGAAAACUUUGGGUGUCAGGCUGUGUUUGAAGUGGGGAGUCAUGCCUCAAACUUUGGGUGUCCCUAGUGAAAGUUGAAGCAAAACAUUGGAAAUUUGAGUUAUUCUUCAUAAUGCCUAUUAAGCUCACGAGAUCUUGCGAAAGAAAUGGGAGAAGGAAGGUACGUACGCUCUUGUCAUGAAUAGAUCAAAAUGAGUCUUGUGGUCAUUUAAGGGAGAGCCAGCAGUUGAGGUUACAAAUGAAGGUGUUGAUGCUGCAGGGCAUACAAUUAGUACAGCUUUGGAGGUCAUUUCCAACUUAGGAAGGUACCACACCUUUGCUAUGAUCAUGUCAGUCUUGAGGCCCUUAGAGGGAACCUUUGAUUUGGAAGCAUAAUUCGGUCUGCACCCCAGCUAUUUUUCAUAUAGAGUUUCUUGCAUUACAUUAGAUUAAAUCACAUAAAUUUGUUAAUUAAUCUGUGGAACCUACACCUCCGAUCAAAGGUGUGUCCAAUGUUAGACACGUGUUGGUUUCUGUUUCUGACACCGAGUUACCACAUUCAAAUUAUUUAUUUUUUAAAAUUAAUACUGGUGUUGACGUCUCGUGUCCCAUGCUCAUAUUGUAUAAAAAAGUUUGAAAUCCAUAAUAUGAAAUUUCCAGUGCCUUGUUCUGGUCAUUGUUAUCCAUAUGUGGUAAAUGUGUCUUUAAUAGAUAUUGAUGUACAUCAACUUGAAAAUUUGCAUAUUGUUUAUAAUUCAUUUCAGAUCCUAUUAAUUUUCAACUAUGACUACCAAAAUCUUUUUAUUGGGACUUUAGAUAAAAAGUCAUCCUGCAUAUUAUUGUUGUUAAUUUAUUGUUUAUAAUAUGUUCUGAUUUGUAUAAAUUUGCUGAAGUGGUUUUCCUUCAAAUGUGG